rnacentral:rRNA from 1 species
UUACGGCUCAGUAACACGUAACUAACCUGCCCUUAAGUCGAGGAUACUCUCGGGAAACUGAGGUUAAUACUCGAUAGGAGAUGUACCCUGGAAUGAUUCAUCUCUCAAAUUCGAGCUUAAGGAUGGGGCUGCGGCGGAUUAGGUUGUUGGCGGGGUAAAGGCCCACCAAGCCGAUGAUCCGUAAGGGCUCUUAGCAGAGAGGCCCUGAGAGGGAAUCUGAGACACUAUUCCCAGCCCUACGGGGUGCAGCAGUUAGGAAUCUUCUGCAAUGCGCGCAAGCGUGACAGAUUGAGUCAGAGUGCUUUUCAUAUGAAAAGCUUUUGCCAAAUGUAAAAAGUUUGGCGAAUAAGGACUGGGUAAGACGGGUGCCAGCCGCCGCGGUAAUACCCGCGGUCCAAGUCGCAGCCAUCAUUAUUGGGUCUAAAACAUCCGUAGCUUGCUUGAUAAGUUUCUUGUGAAAUUCCAUGUCUCAAAUAUGGAGCGGGCAAGAAGUACUGUCAAGCUAGAGACUGGAAGACGUAAGAAGUACGUUUGGAGUAGCGGUAAAAUGUGUUAAUCCCAGACGGACUAACAACAGCGAAGGCAUCUUACGAGGACAGUUCUGACAGUAAGGGAUGAAGGCUAGGGGCGCGAAAGGGAUUAGAUACCCCUGUAGUCCUAGCAGUAAACACUGCACACUAAACAUUAGUACCUCCUCGAGAGGUGUUAGUGCU